UCAAAGACAAGUCCAAGUAAAGAACUAAUUAUGAAUACUUAAUUCAUAAGUAACUUAGGGGG
rnacentral:tRNA from 1 species